CAUGCGGUGGAUGGAUAAUAUGCAAAAAAUAUUAAGCAGUAUAUGAAUUUUCGUAUUGCGUAGAGAUAACAAAAUGAAUUUUAAAAAAUGUCGACACGGUAAUAAGAAAUAGCAUCAUGACAAAGAAUAUAUAAAGACAGUUUCAUUUUUUAUAAAUAAAAAUUUGUUGUUCCAGAUUUUGAAAUACAGUGAAACGUUUAAUUAGUAUCUUAAUAUCUUUAAAUAAUUAUUAUUUUAGAAUCAAUUGUAAUUGUAUCAUACGUACUUUUGAAUUCGUGCAAGAACAUAUGUAAUUUUGAAGUAGUUAUUAUUAGGAAACUGUUAGACGCGAACAGUAUGCGGAAAGUUAGUAUGCAGUGUAAUAAUUAUCAAUCAAAACACAAGAAUUAAAUUCUUGAGGAAAAAAUUUCCGGAAUUUCUUAUUUACAUGAUUAUAAAGAAAUCCAUAAUAAAAAGGAGCUGCUUUCUAAUACUUCUCUUCCUUGUAAUGCCUAUGUUAAUAAUAACGAGGUUCGACUUUUUGUUUUUAGAGGGAUACUGGAAAAUUUGAAAGUACAGUACCAUUGGGAAGAAAAUCACGAUAUUGAAAACGAUAUUUGCAAAUUGAACAAUAUUCCAGAUUUAUUCAUAAUUUCAUACUACGCGAAGAAUAGACUUUCAUAGGUAUAUAAAGGAAAUAUUAAGUAUAGGAAAACUCUUUUUCGUUGUAGGUGACAUAUGCUUCACGGUUGAACACAUGUAUUUUUGAACACAUAUAAAUGAAAAAGUACUCUUAUGGAGAAAAAGAAUUGAUACCUUCGAUUGACAUUAGAUAAUGUAUAUAAACUUAUGAACAAUCACUAUCAGUUUGUAUUUUAGGUGCACACGCAGAUUUGUUGGAGUUCUUAUAAAAUGUACUUCCUGUACGAACGUUUUAUUCUUCCAAAUUUUACGAUACUAUGUCUCAUAUAAUAACUAUAUGGAUUAAACGUAAUAUAAAUGAUCCGAAAAUAGACUCGAACGACAUUAAUUGUCUUUCUAUUUAUACCAAUAUCGAAAAUACAAGUAAAGCUGGAGCAAUAGUAUGCAAGAAUGGACUAUUUAUUAUUUUAAACCAAAUCAUAGCAUAUUCAGAAUGCACAGUAUUAUCAUGAAAUGUAAAUGAAUCAGUUGUAAACGAACGAUUUUACUGUAAAAUCGUUGCCUCCUUUUUUUCAUCUGAAAUAUAGCAGCAAUGAGUACAUUCUUUUAAUAUAUAAUAAAACGAGAUAUCUUUAUAAAGUUACAUAUGUCAUCACUGGUAACUGUUAUCUCGUAUGACACCAAAUAUACCGUUAGUAUGGAAUGAUAUUUUUAUGAAGAUAUACUUUAAUGAUAGGUUUUAUGAAUGAAACGUUAUAUAAGAAAAAUUAUCUCUUGUUAUUCUAUGAAGUGUAGUAGCUAAUGAAGAUUAAUUUUACGAAGUAUUAGAGCAAAAGAGAAUUAAAAAAUUAAAAAGAUCUAAAUAAGA